CUAAGGUAGCGAAAUUCCUUGUCGGGUAAGUUCCGACCUGCACGAAUGGCGUAACGACUUCCCCACUGUCUCGACCAGGAGCUCGGCGAAAUUGCAGUACGAGUAAAGAUGCUCGUUAAGCGCAGAAGGACGAAAAGACCCCGGGACCUUUACUAUACCUUGGUAUUGGCGUUAGGCGCGGAUUGUGUAGCAUAGGCGGGAGGCUUCGAAGCAUGGGCGCCAGCCCGUGUGGAGCCGCAAGGUGAAAUACCGCUCUGUUCUCGUUUGACGUCUAACCUCGAACAGUCAUCCUGUUCAGGGACAGUGCCUGGCGGGUAGUUUAACUGGGGCGGUUGCCUCCCAAAGAGUAACGGAGGCGCUCAAAGGUCCGCUCAGCCCGGUUGGCAAUCGGGUUUCGAGUGUAAUCGCACAAGCGGGCUUGACUGCGAGAACGACGGUUCGGGCAGGGACGAAAGUCGGAGAUAGUGAUCCGGUGCCGGCGCACGGGCGCGGCAUCGCUCAACGGAUAAAAGGUACCCCGGGGAUAACAGGCUGAUCAUUCCCAAGAGUCCAUAUCGACGGGAUGGUUUGGCACCUCGAUGUCGGCUCGUCGCAUCCUGGGGCUGGAGCAGGUCCCAAGGGUUCGGCUGUUCGCCGAUUAAAGCGGCACGCGAGCUGGGUUCAGAACGUCGUGAGACAGUUUGGUCUCUAUCCUCUGCGCUCGUUGGAAUCCUGAGGAGGCCUGCCCAUAGUACGAGAGGACCUGGGUGGACGGACCUCUGGUAUGCCGGUUGUCGCGCCAGCGGCAUGGCCGGUUGGCUACGUUCGGGAGGGAUAACCGCUGAAAGCAUCUAAGCGGGAAGCCUGCUCCAAGAUUAGGAUUCCUUGACGCUCCCCGGAGCGCCUGUAGCCCGCAUGUUGAACACGUGUUCGAUAGGCCGGAGGUGGAAGCCCCGCGAGGGGUGGAGCCGACCGGUACUAACGGGCGAACGCGGCACACU
rnacentral:rRNA from 1 species